rnacentral:rRNA from 1 species
UAUGGGGGCACCUGACGCAGCACGCCACGUGUGGGAAGAAGCAUUUCGGUGUGUAAACCACUGUCGGAAAGGAAUAACGGAAGACUUCGGUCUUUAUGAAUGUACUUUUAGAGGAAGCACCGGCAAACUUCGUGCCAGCAGCCGCGGUAAUACGAGGGGUGCAAGCGUUGUUCGGAAUCACUGGGCGUAAAGGGAGCGUAGGCGGAAGUGCAAGCAAUCUGUAUAAUCCUGGGGCCCAACCCCAGUUCUGCAGAUUGGACUGUAUUUCUUGAAUAGUUCAGAGGCAAGCGGAAUUUCUGGUGUAGCGGUGGAAUGCGUAGAGAUCAGAAAGAACACCAAUGGCGAACGCAUCUUGCUGGGGACUUAUUGACGCUGAGGCUCGAAAGUGUGGGUAGCAAACAGGAUUAAAUACCCUGGUAGUCCACACUGAAAACGAUGCAUACUGGGUGUCCGAAAUUCGUUUCGGGUACCAUACCUAACGCGUUAAGUAUGCCGCCUGGGGAGUACGUACGCAAGUAUGAAACUGAAAGGAAUUGACGGUUAUAAGGUUAAAUAAU